rnacentral:rRNA from 1 species
CCCUUAGAUGUUCUGGGCCGCACGCGCGCUACACUGAUGCAUUCAACGAGCACCCGCUGGGCCGAGAGGUCCGGCUAAUCUUUGAACGUGCAUCGUGCUGGGGAUAGAUGAUUGCAAUUAUUCAUCUUCAACGAGGAAUUCCUAGUAAACGCAAGUCAUCAGCUUGCAUUGAUUACGUCCCUGCCCUUUGUACACACCGCCCGUCGCACCUACCGAUUGAAUGGUCCGGUGAAGCCUCGGGAUUGUGGUUCUUGCCGCUUUAUUGUGGCGUGACCGCGAGAACUUGUCUAAACCUUAUCAUCUAGAGGAAGGUGAAGUCGUAACA